rnacentral:misc_RNA from 1 species
UAAAAUAUGCAAUGAGUAGGAAAAUUAAAUUUUGCAAUUAAGGGCUUAGGCAAUGGAACUGGCAGAUAAAAAAUUAAUAGGAAAGGCAGGAACAUGAAGAGCUGAAUUGAAAUUUAUAUUGAGAGUGCACCUAUACUAGAAAUUAUGGUAAAAGAAUCCCACUAUACGGACAUUUUCUUUUCUUGAGCAUAGGAAAUAGGUAGAGAAUUUAUUUG